rnacentral:rRNA from 1 species
GAGAGUUUGAUCCUGGCUCAGAUUGAACGCUGGCGGCGUGCUUAACACAUGCAAGUCGCGCGUGAAAGGACUUCGGUCCGAGUAAAGCGGCGCACGGGUGAGUAACGCGUGGAUGAUCUACCCAUGAGUUAGGAAUAACGGCUGGAAACGGUCGCUAAUACCAAUACGCUCCGAUUUCAACUUCGGGGGAAAGGUGGCCUCUGCUUGCAAGCUACUGCUCAUGGAUGAGUCCGCGUCCCAUUAGCUAGUUGGUGGGGUAACGGCCCACCAAGGCGACGAUGGGUAGCCGGUCUGAGAGGAUGACCGGCCACACUGGGACUGGAACACGGCCCAGACUCCUACGGGAGGCAGCAGUGGGGAAUAUUGCGCAAUGGGCGAAAGCCUGACGCAGCGACGCCGCGUGAAGGGAUGAAGGUCCUCGGAUCGUAAACCUCUGUCAGGAGGGAAGAACCGCCACGGUGCUAAUCAGCCGUGGUCUGACGGUACCUCCAAAGGAAGCACCGGCUAACUCCGUGCCAGCCGCGGC